ensembl:lncRNA
UCUUUGCUGGAGAUCCCUGCCUACUGGAGGCCUCCUGGAGUCUGGUCAGUGACAGCAGGAGAUCACAGACCGUGUUGAAAUGUGAUGAUCAUGGGGUAUUCAGCCCUUUCUCGGUUUCCGCUUCCAUCCCACGGAUGUUUGGCCUGGCGGUGCUGCACAGCAGCUGAGGUAGAGACAAUACAAAUGUGAUGCAACGUUUUCUCAUCUGAAGGACUUGGAUGUGAACCUGGAGUUAGAGAGAAAUGGAAAAACUGGAACAUCUCGGAGCGCUUGUCAGAUCUAGGGGUUUGGGCCCACCUCCUCAAAAGAGAAUGGAAAUAAGUAGUGCAAAAUGAACAGUACCAUCCUCGAUGUGGAGUCUUGUGUGCAGCUGAGUUCUGGAGGACAGACACACUGCUGUAGCUGCUCACCCACCACACUAACACAAGGAUGGAUGGAUAUGCAUCCUCUGAAGAUGGCAUUGCAAAGCCUAAAGCAGUUAGAAGUAAUCCUAGGGAAUAGUGUUUGAGUGGACUGAGGAGUGGAGAGCCCCAAACUGGCUAAAGCUGAACACAAAUUUUUGUGCUUCAAAUAGACUAGAAGAUGCUGCAUACCUUUACUCCCAUUUGUAAGUCUAGCUUACUGUUUGGCCUUUCAAAGUAGGAUGGCAUUGCUGAUUUAUAGGCAGACAGCAGCAUGUAAUGACCCUCAGAUCUUUUUCUGUACUUGUCCACCUAACCCAUUGUUCUCCAUCCAGUAUCUGAGAAGCUCUUUCUUUCUGGCUAAGUGUAGCACUUUGCAUUUUUUUCUUGGUGAAUAUCACCAUGUUUUUUAAUGUAACUUCAGUUUUCAGGAUUCUUCUGAGCUCUUUGGCAUGUCUAAAGCUCCACCCUUCCUAUUGUCUGAAAAUUUAAUAAGGACUUUCUGUUUUCCAUCAUGUAGAUUGUUCAUGAAAAUGUAUUCACUGAAGGAGAUUUUACCCCAAACCCUGGUUAACAGAGAGAUCCUAAAUCU